rnacentral:rRNA from 1 species
CCUACGUGAGGCAGCAGUGGGGAAUAUUGCGCAAUGGGCGAAAGCCUGACGCAGCGACGCCGCGUGAGGGAUGAAGGUCUUCGGAUCGUAAACCUCUGUCAGCAGGGAAGAACGGUCACUUUGCUAAUCAGCAGUGAAUUGACGGUACCUGCAAAGGACGCACCGGCUAACUCCGUGCCAGCAGCCGCGGUAAUACGGAGGGUGCGAGCGUUAAUCGGAAUUACUGGGCGUAAAGCGCUCGUAGGCGGUAUGUCAAGUCAAGGGUGAAAUCCCCGCGCUCAACGUGGGAACUGCCUUUGAAACUGGCAAACUGGAGAGUGUGAGAGGAUAGUGGAAUUCAAGGUGUAGGAGUGAAAUCCGUAGAUAUCUGGAGGAACAUCAGUGGCGAAGGCGACUAUCUGGCACAUAACUGACGCUGAGGAGCGAAAGCGUGGGUAGCAAACAGGAUUAGAUACCCCAGUAGUC